rnacentral:rRNA from 1 species
AUUGAACGCUGGCGGCAUGCCUUACACAUGCAAGUCGAACGGCAGCACGGGAGCAAUCCUGGUGGCGAGUGGCGAACGGGUGAGUAAUAUAUCGGAACGUGCCCAGUCGUAGGGGAUAACGCAGCGAAAGCUGUGCUAAUACCGCAUACGAUCUAUGGAUGAAAGCGGGGGAUCGCAAUACCUCGCGCGAUUGGAGCGGCCGAUAUCAGAUUAGCUAGUUGGUGAGGUAAAGGCUCACCAAGGCGACGAUCUGUAGCUGGUCUGAGAGGACGACCAGCCACACUGGAACUGAGGCACGGUCCAGACUCCUACGGGAGGCAGCAGUGGGGAAUUUUGGACAAUGGGCGAAAGCCUGAUCCAGCAAUGCCGCGUGCAGGAUGAAGGCCUUCGGGUUGUAAACUGCUUUUGUACGGAACGAAACGGUGAGCUCUAAUACAGUUUGCUAAUGACGGUACCGUAAGAAUAAGCACCGGCUAACUACGUGCCAGCCGCCGCCGUAA